UUUGUGAUCCCAGGCUGGUUGAACAAGUCAAAGUCUAGCC
rnacentral:rRNA from 2 species